rnacentral:misc_RNA from 1 species
GAUGAAGAACGUAGCGAAAUGCGAUAAGUAAUGUGAAUUGCAGAAUUCAGUGAAUCAUCGAAUCUUUGAACGCACAUUGCGCCCGCCAGUAAUCUGGCGGGCAUGCCUGUUCGAGCGUCAUUUCAACCCUCAAGCCCUGCUUGGUGUUGGGGAUCGGCGUUGCCUCCUCCGUCGUUCGCGGCGGGGUGAGGUCGCCGCCCCCGAAAUGAAUUGGCGGUCUCGUCGCAGCUUUCCUUUGCGUAGUAACAUACCACCUCGCAACCAGGAGCGCGGCGCGGCCACUGCCGUAAAACGCCCAACUUUUUCAAGAGUUGACCUCGAAUCAGGUAGGAAUACCCGCUGAACUUAAGCAUAUCAAUAAGCGGAGGA